CAUGAGGGUUGUGAUGAACUUCUGCAUCCUGGCUUGUCCUUCCCUCACCAUUUCUGCUGACAAUCUUUUCCCGGACGUUGACUUUUUAAUAAUAGUCUAUACGAUCUGGAGAACACAGAUUUAAUCUUUGCACUACACUGAGAGGCUAAGAAACAUCUACAUGGCUCUGAAGCUGAAGCCGCAACUGUGCAAGCAGAUACAGACAGGCAACGCUCUAUGUGGUUAAAGAAAAGCACAUGCCAGAGACUCAGGAGCAGCUGGCCCCAAAUUUUGGCCUCAGCACACCAUGUAAAAUUGAACAUAUGUGUGGACUGGGUUUGACUCCCUUCAGAUGCUUCUGAAACACAAUAAUAUCUCACUGGAACUUGAAAAUACUCAUUCUUCAAUCAACCUGAUAAAGUCUUGCCAUCAUAUGGACCUGUCUAGUAAGAACAGAGAGGGCAUCUCACCAAGAAGAGGACACCAACAGAGCACCAUGAAUAAGGAGCUGAAUAAUAAUUUGCUGAUAAUGAAUAAUCAGAAAAAUAAUGCUAAUGUCUCUGCUGCUAACUUUGCUGACUUAGCAAUGACAGUCUUAUCUCUUAAAAAUUCCCAGAGUUAGUAAGCCUGAAGAAAACUAGAAUCAAAAUUCAGAGUUCUAAAAUAACUUUGUUUUGAGGUGGAUAUUUCAAUUUAGCAGACUGCAGGUAUGAUUAUAAAUGGAUUACUCCCAUUUUACUAGUAUUAUGGAAUAAGAACUCCUCAUUUGGACAUUGCCUUAAACAGGCUUUAAAUUCCCUCAUAGUUUAAUAAUUAACCUGAAGUACAAAAGAAAACUCAGAAUUGAAAAUGGGAAAAAAUGCAACAUAGAAGAAACAAGGUUUAUUUCAGUUAGAUUCUGCUUCUAAGAAAUAUAAAUAAAGCUUUGUACCAACAAAAUUAUUUUUUAUUGAAACAUUCUAGUCUGUAUUACUUACAAUCACUUAAAUACUUACAGUGAAAGUGCAAUGAUGUUUCAUAGCAAAAUACUCAAAAUACACAACUUCUAAUAUUGCUACCUGGACAAUGUUGAUUCAGUCCUGCUACAUGCAUAUAAAAAUAAAAAUUACUGACUUGCAAAAGUGUUUCACUGGGGAUAUUCUUAGCAAGCAUCUACUUAUUCCAUUUUAUCUGUUCAGUUCAAGAUGUGAAAGCAUGUCACAUUGUGGUACACAGAAAGAAAUAAUGUUGGUUGUCCCAAAUUUUACAACAACAUUAAUUUUUAUAGUGCUUCCAUCAGCUACAAACUACAAGAAUAUCUACACAUAUUUAGGGGAAAUUGCCAUCCACAUUCUUACUCUGAAUGAACAGAAAUGCAGACAUAGCUAGAACUGACAUACCAAUUUCACAUACAUAGGAAUGAUUUUUUUAAAAUAGAUUACAGCAAGUAUUUUAUAGCUUUUAAAAUCACAGUUCCCUAUUCCCUUUAGCUGCAAUUGAGUGUUGAGUAGUUCUGCAUCUUGGUCC